rnacentral:rRNA from 1 species
UUUUGUGGGGUGCCCGAGUGGCGAACGGGUGAGUAACACGUGAGUAACCUGCCCUUGACUUUGGGAUAACUUCAGGAAACUGGGGCUAAUACCGGAUAGGAGCUCCUGCUGCAUGGUGGGGGUUGGAAAGUUUCGGCGGUUGGGGAUGGACUCGCGGCUUAUCAGCUUGUUGGUGGGGUAGUGGCUUACCAAGGCUUUGACGGGUAGCCGGCCUGAGAGGGUGACCGGCCACUAUUGGGACUGAGAUACGGCCCAG